rnacentral:rRNA from 1 species
GACGAACUGUCCUAACGUUGUUCGGAAUCACUGGGCUUAAAGGGCGCGUAGGCGGUCCGCCAAGUCAGGGGUGAAAUCCUGCAGCUUAACUGUAGAAGUGCCUCUGAUACUGGCGGUCUUGAGGGAAAUAGGGGUGUGCGGAACUUCCAGUGGAGCGGUGAAAUGCGUUGAUAUUGGAAGGAACGCCGGAGGCGAAAGCGGCGCACUGGAUUUCCUCUGACGCUGAGGCGCGAAAGCUAGGGGAGCAAACGGG